rnacentral:rRNA from 1 species
GGGUGAGUAAUGUCUGGGAAACUGCCUGAUGGGAGGGGGAUAACUACUGGAAACGGUAGCUAAAUACCGCAUAACGUCGCAAGACCAAAGAGGGGGACCUUCGGGCCUCUUGCCAUCAGAUGUGCCCAGAUGGGAUUAGCUAGUAGGUGGGGUAACGGCUCACCUAGGCGGCGAUCCCUAGCUGGUCUGAGAGGAUAACCAGCCACACUGGAACUGAGACACGGUCCAGACUCCUACGGGAGGCAGCAGUGGGGAAUAUUGCACAAUGGGCGCAAGCCUGAUGCAGCCAUGCCGCGUGUAUGAAGAAGGCCUUCGGGUUGUAAAGUACUUUCAGCGGGGAGGAAGGGAGUAAAGUUAAUACCUUUGCUCAUUGACGUUACCCGCAGAAGAAGCACCGGCUAACUCCGUG